UACGUAGGGGGCGAGCGUUGUCCGAAUUUACUGGGCGUAAAGCGCGCGUAGGCGGGCUAUUAAGUUGGUGGUGAAAUUCCGAGGCUCAACUUCGGAACUGCCGCCAAAACUGGUAGCCUUGAGGUAUGGAGAGGAAAGUGGACUUCCUGGUGUAGCGGUGAAAUGCGUAGAUAUCAGGAGGAACACCCAUGGCGAAGGCAGCUUUCUGGCCAUAUCCUGACGCUGAGGUGCGAAAGCCAGGGGAGCGAACGGGAUUAGAUACCCCGGUAGUCCUGGCCGUAAACGAUGGAUACUAGGUGUUAGAGGUAUCGACCCCUCUAGUGCCGAAGCUAACGCAUUAAGUAUCCCGCCUGGGGAGUACGACCGCAAGGUUGAA
rnacentral:rRNA from 1 species